UACGGAGGAGGCAAGCGUUAUCCGGAAUUAUUGGGCGUAAAGCGUCCGUAGAUGGUUUUGUCAGUCUGCUGUCAAAGCACAGGGCUUAACCCUGUAAAGGCAGUGGAAACUACAAGACUAGAGUGCAGUAGGGGCAGAGGGAAUUCCCAGUGUAGCGGUGAAAUGCGUAGAGAUCGGGAAGAACAUCCGUGGCGAAAGCGCUCUGCUGGACUGCAACUGACAUUGAGGGACGAAAGCUAGGGGAGCGAAUGGG
rnacentral:rRNA from 1 species